rnacentral:lncRNA from 1 species
AAGACCAAUCAAGCCGGAGAGAACAGCCUCCCCUGUACCCAGCUGUGUGUCCAUGAAGAGUGAUCGGUCUAUGGGUACACCUAUAGAGUUUAGAGAGGGAGACUUUUCUACUGAACAAAGACCAAUCAAGCCGGAGAGAACAGCCUCCCCUGUACCCAGCUGUGUGUCCAUGAAGAGUGAUCGGUCUAUGGGUACACCUAUAGAGUUUAGAGAGGGAGACUUUUCUACUGAACAAAGAUUCUCUAACCAAACUCUGAGAUCAGUCUCUCCAGUACCCAGUCAUCUGUCCAUGAAGAGUGACUCCUCUAUGCAUCAUCCUAUACAUUUUAGUGAUGGAUCAGGGACCUUUGACCCCAGGUAAGUUACUGGUCAGAAUUGAUGAUAUUACUAUUGAAGAGGAGAACCUUCAAGAUCUGAAACCAGAUGUAUUUUGAGUAUCUGAGUAUAUACUGUAAAGCAUCUGCUUAUCAUUUGUUGUUUAUGUCAUAUAUUUUAAGACACUGAGUGUACAAAACAUUAUGAACACCUGCUUUUUCCAUGACGUAGAUUGACAAGGUGAAUCCAGGUGAAAGCAAUGAUCCCUUAUUGAUGUCACUUGUUAAAUCCACUUCAAUCUGUGUCGAUGAAGGGGAGGUUAAAGAAGGAUUUUUAAGCCUUGAGACAAUUGAGACAUGGAUUGUGUAUGUGUGCCAUUCAGAGGGUGAAUGAGCAAGUCAAUAUAUUUAAGUACCUUUGAAUGGGGUAUUGUGGUAGGUCUCAGGCACAAAAUUCUAGUAAUGGUGUUGUGGACAUGUUAUUCAUUCCAGAGGCUACUACCACACUCAGACAGCACAGUAUACUGAUCCCAGCUGUCUGUCUAUG